rnacentral:misc_RNA from 1 species
AGACCCUCAGUCAAACCAAAAGAAGAAAAUUAAUUACGUCCAAACCUUAGGGGGCUGAGGGUUGAGUAAAGUCAGUUCCUUUCUGCUCUAUGACUUUCCAGUUUUCAGCUUUUUAAUUUUGUCUAUGCUUUUACACAGCAAAUGGCAAAGGAAUCCUUUCCUUUCCUCUCCAAAGGCUAAACUGCUGCUGUUAAACCACGGGCCGUCCUAGUUCUAUCAUUAUCUUUGUUUU